rnacentral:rRNA from 1 species
UACGGAGGUGGCAAGCGUUGCUCGGAAUCACUGGGCGUAAAGGGCGCGUAGGCGGGGAGGUAAGUCGGGUGUGAAAUCCCUCGGCCCAACCGAGGAACUGCGCCCGAGACUGCUUCUCUUGAGUCCCGGAGAGGAAGGUGGAAUUCCCGGUGUAGCGGUGAAAUGCGUAGAUAUCAGGAGGAACACCUGUGGUGUAGACGGCUUUCUGGACCAUUGCUGACGCUGAGACACGAAAGCGUGGGUAGCAAACAGG